GACGAACGCUGGCGGCGUGCCUAAUACAUGCAAGUCGAACGCAUUUUCUUUCACCGUAGCUUGCUACACCGAAAGAAAAUGAGUGGCGAACGGGUGAGUAACACGUGGGUAACCUGCCCAUCAGCGGGGGAUAACACUUGGAAACAGGUGCUAAUACCGCAUAAUUCCAUUUACCGCAUGGUAGAUGGGUGAAAGGCGCUUUUGCGUCACUGAUGGAUGGACCCGCGGUGCAUUAGCUAGUUGGUGGGGUAACGGCCUACCAAGGCUGCGAUGCAUAGCCGACCUGAGAGGGUGAUAGGCCACACUGGGACUGAGACACGGCCCAGACUCCUACGGGAGGCAGCAGUAGGGAAUCUUCGGCAAUGGACGCAAGUCUGACCGAGCAACGCCGCGUGAGUGAAGAAGGUUUUCGGAUCGUAAAACUCUGUUGUUAGAGAAGAACAAGGAUGAGAGUGGAAAGUUCAUCCCUUGACGGUAGCUAACCAGAAAGCCACGGCUAACUACGUG
rnacentral:rRNA from 1 species